rnacentral:rRNA from 1 species
AUGUCCCGAGGCGCUGGUGCACGGGUGGCGUCGCCCACGCUCUGUACCUAUUCCAUCCUCAUGGACUGCUGCUGCCGCGUAGGCCGCCCGGACUUGGUGCUUGCCUUCUUCGGUCGCCUCCUCAGGUUGGGGCUGCGCUUGGAUAUCAUCUCCUCCAGCAAUCUCCUCAAGGGGCUCUGCCAGGCCAAGCGUUCAAAUGAGGCUUUGGACAUGCUGCUCCACCGGAUGCCCGAACUGGACUGUGUGCCUGAUGUCUUCUCGUACAGCAUAGUAAUCAACGGCUGUUUUAAACAAGGUGAAGUAGACAAAGCGUGCAAUCUCUUCCAUCAGAUGCCCCAACUGGGAGUUCAACCUAAUGUGGUGAUCUACAACUCAGUUAUCGACGCACUAAGCAAAUCCGGAGCAAUGGACAAGGCAGAAGUGGUCCUUCGGCAAAUGGUUGAUCAAGGAAUUGAACCCAAUAUCAAGACAUAUAACUGUCUGAUCCAUGGAUAUUCUACUUUUGGUCAGUGGAAGGAGGCACUUAGGGUAUUCAAAGAAAUGGCAAGUCUUGGUGUUGUACCAGACGUUGUCACGUUGACCUCAUUAAUCGAUUCCCUUUGCAAGCACAGAAGGACAAAGGAAGCUAGAGAAAUUUUUGACUCUAUGGCUGCAAAGGGCCUGAAACCUAAUAUCGUCUCCUACUCUACUAUGCUUAAUGGGUAUGUCAAAGAAGGAUCCUUCGAGGAUAUGACUGAUCUCUUCAAUUCGAUGGUACGGAAUGGUGUUGUACCAAACCACCAUAUUUUCAACAUACUGAUCAAUGCAUAUGCUAAACGUGGACUGAUGGAUGAGGCUAUGCACAUGUUCGAAGUAAUGAGGCAACAAGGAGUAAACCCAGAUGUAGUUGACUAUCUAGUAAUAAUGGAUUCACUUUGUAAAAUGGGUAGGAUGGAUGCUGCUGUGGACAAAUUUAAUCAGAUGGUCAAUCAAGGAGUUUCACCUAACAAAGCUGUUUACCAAUGCCUGGUUCUGGGUUCUUGCUCUCAUGGUCAUUUUGUGAAAGCCAAGGAUUUGAUCUCUGAAGCAAUUAAUAGAGGUCUGUUUUCUAACAGUGUGUUCUUCUAUCCUGUAAUAAACGACCUAUGCAAAGAAGGAAAGGUAAACGAGGCACAGGAUAUGUUUGACUUCAUUCUAGGUAUUGGUCGGCGGCCUGAUGUGAUUAUGUACAAUUCACUGAUGGAUGGAUAUUGCCUUGUUGGCAAGGUGGAGGAAGCACUAAGAGUACUUGAUGCUAUGAAGUCUGCUGGCCUCCAACCUACUGCUGUUACGUAUGCUAUACUUCUUAAUGGCUACUGUAAAAUUGGCAGGAUCGCCGAUGGAUUGAGUCUUUUCAGGGAAAUGUCACUCAGCGGAGUUAAACCCACGACUUUUAUGUACAACAUUAUAUUUGAUGGGCUGUUUCGCUCCGGGAGAGCAGUUUCUGCAAAGGAAAAAUUCCGUACGAUGACUGAAAGUGGCAUACCAGUGGGCGUUGACACAUACAACAUAGUUCUUCAUGGACUUUGUAAAAAUAAUUGCACUGGUGAAGCAAUAGAGCUGUUCAAGAAACUACGUGCAAUGAACGUGAAGAUUGAUGUCAUAACACUCAAUACCAUGAUUUCUGUAAUGUUUAAAACUAGGAGAAUUGAAGAAGCCAAGGAUUUGUUUGCUACUAUAUCAGCCAUCAGAUUGGUGCCUUCUGUUGUGACUUACAGUGUAAUGAUGACGAAUUUCAUAGAAGAAGGGUUGCUGGCAGAGGCUGAUGAUAUGUUUUUAGCAAUGGAGAAGGCUGGCUGUGCUCCUGACUCGAGACUGCUAAAUCACGUGGUCAGAGUGUUGCUGGAGAAUGGUGCAGUUGUAAAGGCUGCAACUUAUCUCGCUAAACUUGAUGCAAAACAGCUGUCAGUUGAAGCUUCGACGGUUUCGUUAAUACUAUCUCUCUUCUCAAGGAAAGGGAAAUUAAGGGAGCAUGUAAAAUUGCUUCCGGUAAAGUACCAGCCUCCUGAGAUGUUGGACUGA